CGCAUAUUGCGCCCUUUGGUAUCCCGAAGGGCAUGCCUGUUCGAGCGUCAUUAUCACCCCUCAAGCCCGGCUUGUUGUUGGACCAAGUCCCGUCACACGGACCGGCCCCAAAGAUAAUGACGGCGCCUGUGAGGACUCUAGUACACUGAGCUUUCGGGCACGUACUGUCAGGACUCCAGGCACCGUUUAACCGGAAAAAGGUGCCUCGGCGCAUUUUCCACUCCUAGGUUGACCUCGGAUCAGGUAGGAAUACCCGCUGAACUUAA
rnacentral:misc_RNA from 1 species